GACAGAGGGGGCAAGCGUUGCUCGGAAUUACUGGGCGUAAAGGGCGCGUAGGCGGGAUGGCAAGUCGGUCGUGAAAUCCCUCGGCUCAACUGAGGAUCGUCGAUCGAUACUGCCGUUCUUGAGGAUUGCAGAGGAGACUGGAAUUCCCGGUGUAGCGGUGAAAUGUGUAGAGAUCGGGGGGAACACCGGUAGCGAAGGCGGGUCUCUGGGCAAUUCCUGACGCUGAGGCGCGAAAGCGUGGGGAGCAAACGGG
rnacentral:rRNA from 1 species